AGAUUGAACGCUGGCGGCAUGCUUUACACAUGCAAGUCGAACGGUAACAGGCCGCAAGGUGCUGACGAGUGGCGAACGGGUGAGUAAUGUAUCGGAACGUGCCCAGUCGUGGGGGAUAACGCAGCGAAAGCUGCGCUAAUACCGCAUACGAUCUAUGGAUGAAAGCGGGGGACCGUAAGGCCUCGCGCGAUUGGAGCGGCCGAUAUCAGAUUAGGUAGUUGGUGGGGUAAAGGCUCACCAAGCCAACGAUCUGUAGCUGGUCUGAGAGGACGACCAGCCACACUGGGACUGAGACACGGCCCAGACUCCUACGGGAGGCAGCAGUGGGGAAUUUUGGACAAUGGGCGCAAGCCUGAUCCAGCAAUGCCGCGUGCAGGAAGAAGGCCUUCGGUUGUAAACUGCUUUUGUACGGAACGAAACGGUCCUGGUUAAUACCUGGGCUAAUGACGGUACCGUAAGAAUAAGCACGGCUAACUACGUGCCAGCAGCCGCGGUAAC
rnacentral:rRNA from 1 species